rnacentral:lncRNA from 1 species
GCCCUGGCCAGGCUCUUCCUGCCCCACCUGCCCCUGCCAGGCUCCCCACCUCCUGCCUCUCUCUGCCCCUCUCUGAGCCUGCCCUGCCCUGAGCCCAUGGCCUGUGUCUCAUGGGCGGGUCCAAGGAGCAGACGGCUCUUUUUUUUUUUUUUUUUUUGAGACGGAGUCUCGCUCUGUCACCCAGGCUGGAGUGCAGUGGCCGGAUCUCAGCUCACUGCAAGCUCCGCCUCCCGGGUUUACGCCAUUUUCCUACCUCAGCCUCCCAAGUAGCUGGUACUACAGGCGCCCGCCACCUUGCCUGGCUAGUUUUUUUGCAUUUUUUUUUUUUUAGUAGAGACGGGGUUUCACUGUGUUGGCCAGGAUGGUCUUGAUCUCCUGACCUCAUGAUCCGCCCGUCUCGGCCUCCCAAAGUGCUGGGAUUACAGGCUUGAGCCACUGCGCCUGGCCCAGAAACCUCUUUAAAAGGCAUCCCUCUUUGCAUUUUUGUCUCCACAAGGGAAGCUCAUUGUAACAAAAAUCAAACUGAAAGAAAGCAUUCCAGGAUUCCACCUCCAGAGGAAACUGACCAGGGAAACUGAAGCCUCGAGUGGGCAGAGCCACAUGGCCACACAGUGAGGCUGCGGCUGGAGCCUGGCUGCCGAGUCCUUGCCCUGAAGCUCCAGCAUCCCGCACAGCCUGGGGCUAAUCAGAGGAGACCAGCUUGUCUCCCCUGGGGGUCUUGCAGCACUCCAUGCCCCCACCUUGCCAGGGAGCUGCAGAGGCCCGAGGGGCUGCCCUGGUCACACAGCAGGGCUGGGCUGCCCUCUGGGCAACAUCUACAGCGCCAUCCUGGAGCCUUCCCUGGACCCGUGGCUGGGGUCACGGCGCCAUCCUGGAGCCUUCCCUGGACCCGUGGCUGGGGUCACGGCGCCAUCCUGGAGCCUUCCCUGGACCCGUGGCUGGGGUCACGGCGCCAUCCUGGAGCCUUCCCUGGACCCGUGGCUGGGGUCACGGCGCCAUCCUGGAGCCUUCCCUGGACCCGUGGCUGGGGUCACGGCGCCAUCCU